rnacentral:rRNA from 1 species
GAGUUUGAUCAUGGCUCAGAUUGAACGCUGGCGGCAGGCCUAACACAUGCAAGUCGAACGGUAACAGGAAGCAGCUUGCUGCUUCGCUGACGAGUGGCGGACGGGUGAGUAAUGUCUGGGAAGCUGCCUGAUGGAGGGGGAUAACUACUGGAAACGGUAGCUAAUACCGCAUAAUGUCGCAAGACCAAAGAGGGGGACCUUCGGGCCUCUUGCCAUCGGAUGUGCCCAGAUGGGAUUAGCUUGUUGGUGGGGUAACGGCUCACCAAGGCGACGAUCCCUAGCUGGUCUGAGAGGAUGACCAGCCACACUGGAACUGAGACACGGUCCAGACUCCUACGGGAGGCAGCAGUGGGGAAUAUUGCACAAUGGGCGCAAGCCUGAUGCAGCCAUGCCGCGUGUAUGAAGAAGGCCUUCGGGUUGUAAAGUACUUUCAGCGGGGAGGAAGGGAGUAAAGUUAAUACCUUUGCUCAUUGACGUUACCCGCAGAAGAAGCACCGGCUAACUCCGUGCCAGCAGCCGCGGUAAUACGGAGGGUGCAAGCGUUAAUCGGAAUUACUGGGCGUAAAGCGCACGCAGGCGGUUUGUUAAGUCAGAUGUGAAAUCCCCGGGCUCAACCUGGGAACUGCAUCUGAUACUGGCAAGCUUGAGUCUCGUAGAGGGGGGUAGAAUUCCAGGUGUAGCGGUGAAAUGCGUAGAGAUCUGGAGGAAUACCGGUGGCGAAGGCGGCCCCCUGGACGAAGACUGACGCUCAGGUGCGAAAGCGUGGGGAGCAAACAGGAUUAGAUACCCUGGUAGUCCACGCCGUAAACGAUGUCGACUUGGAGGUUGUGCCCUUGAGGCGUGGCUUCCGGAGCUAACGCGUUAAGUCGACCGCCUGGGGAGUACGGCCGCAAGGUUAAAACUCAAAUGAAUUGACGGGGGCCCGCACAAGCGGUGGAGCAUGUGGUUUAAUUCGAUGCAACGCGAAGAACCUUACCUGGUCUUGACAUCCACGGAAGUUUUCAGAGAUGAGAAUGUGCCUUCGGGAACCGUGAGACAGGUGCUGCAUGGCUGUCGUCAGCUCGUGUUGUGAAAUGUUGGGUUAAGUCCCGCAACGAGCGCAACCCUUAUCCUUUGUUGCCAGCGGUCCGGCCGGGAACUCAAAGGAGACUGCCAGUGAUAAACUGGAGGAAGGUGGGGAUGACGUCAAGUCAUCAUGGCCCUUACGACCAGGGCUACACACGUGCUACAAUGGCGCAUACAAAGAGAAGCGACCUCGCGAGAGCAAGCGGACCUCAUAAAGUGCGUCGUAGUCCGGAUUGGAGUCUGCAACUCGACUCCAUGAAGUCGGAAUCGCUAGUAAUCGUGGAUCAGAAUGCCACGGUGAAUACGUUCCCGGGCCUUGUACACACCGCCCGUCACACCAUGGGAGUGGGUUGCAAAAGAAGUAGGUAGCUUAACCUCCGGGAGGGCGCUUACCACUUUGUGAUUCAUGACUGGGGUGAAGUCGUAACAAGGUA